rnacentral:rRNA from 1 species
CAACGGAGAGUUUGAUCCUGGCUCAGGAUGAACGCUGGCGGCGUGCUUAACACAUGCAAGUCGAACGAACCUUCGGGUUAGUGGCGGACGGGUGAGUAACGCGUGAGAAUCUGCCCUCAGGAGGGGGAUAACAGCUGGAAACGGCUGCUAAUACCCCAUAUGCCGCGAGGUGAAAUGAAUUUCGCCUGAGGAUGAGCUCGCGUCUGAUUAGCUAGUUGGUGUAGGUAAUGGCUCACCACGGCAUCGAUCAGUAGCUGGUCUGAGAGGAUGAUCAGCCACACUGGGACUGAGACACG